AUCAAUUUCAUCAGAAUGGAUUGGAAGUAACAAAAAUAUGAAAGUUUCCAAAUGGGAAACCUCAGUUUCUUAGAGCCAUUUUUUAGAAUUUUUUUAAGUCCUAGUAGCUGAAGAUUAUGCUACCAGUGUCUUUCCCUUCGAAUUUAUCUAUCUGCUAUGUUUACUAAAUCAGAGAUUAAAAUGUCUUAAACACAUUAGUAGAUCAAGAUGUUAUUGCCCUGG
rnacentral:misc_RNA from 1 species